rnacentral:rRNA from 1 species
UACGUAGGGAGCAAGCGUUGUCCGGAAUUACUGGGUGUAAAGGGAGCGUAGGCGGGAGGAUAAGUUGAAUGUGAAAUCUAUGGGCUCAACCCAUAGCUGCGUUCAAAACUGUUCUUCUUGAGUGAAGUAGAGGCAGGCGGAAUUCCUAGUGUAGCGGUGAAAUGCGUAGAUAUUAGGAGGAACACCAGUGGCGAAGGCAGCAUGCCGGCUCCACACUGACGCUGAGGCACGAAAGCGUGGGUAGCAAACAGG